CAGCAGCCGCGGGAAUACGAAGGGUGCAAGCGUUAAUCGGAAUUACUGGGCGUAAAGGGUGCGUAGGCGGUUGUUUAAGUCUGUUGUGAAAUCCCCGGGCUCAACCUGGGAAUGGCAAUGGAAACUGGACGGCUAGAGUGUGUCAGAGGAUGGUGGAAUUCCCGGUGUAGCGGUGAAAUGCGUAGAGAUCGGGAGGAACAUCAGUGGCGAAGGCGGCCAUCUGGGACAACACUGACGCUGAGGCACGAAAGCGUGGGGAGCAAACAGGAUUAGAUACCCCCGUAGUCCCUGUCUCUUAUAC
rnacentral:rRNA from 1 species